GACGAACGCUGGCGGCGUGCCUAAUACAUGCAAGUAGAACGCUGAAGAGAGGAGCUUGCUCUUCUUGGAUGAGUUGCGAACGGGUGAGUAACGCGUAGGUAACCUGCCUUGUAGCGGGGGAUAACUAUUGGAAACGAUAGCUAAUACCGCAUAACAAUGGAUGACACAUGUCAUUUAUUUGAAAGGGGCAAUUGCUCCACUACAAGAUGGACCUGCGUUGUAUUAGCUAGUAGGUGAGGUAAUGGCUCACCUAGGCGACGAUACAUAGCCGACCUGAGAGGGUGAUCGGCCACACUGGGACUGAGACACGGCCCAGACUCCUACGGGAGGCAGCAGUAGGGAAUCUUCGGCAAUGGAGGCAACCCUGACCGAGCAACGCCGCGUGAGUGAAGAAGGUUUUCGGAUCGUAAAGCUCUGUUGUAAGUCAAGAACGGGUGUGAGAGUGGAAAGUUCACACUGUGACGGUAGCUGACCAGAAAGGGACGGCUAACUACGUG
rnacentral:rRNA from 1 species